UCACCUGGCUGGGACACUAGACACUACAUAUAUCUAGAGGUAGGUUCACCUGGCUGGGACACGACAUAGAUCUAGAGGUAGGUUCACCUGACUGGGACACUAGACACUACAUAGAUCUUGAGGUAGGUUCACCUGGCUGGGACACUAGACACUACAUAGAUCUUGAGGUAGGUUCACCUGGCUGGGACACUAGACACUACAUCGAUCUAGAGGUAGGUUCACCUGGCUGGGACACUAGACACUACAUAGAUCUAGAGGUAGGUUCACCUGGCUGGGACACUAGACACUACAUAGAUCUAGAGGUAGGUUCACCUGGCUGGGACACUAGACACUACAUAGAUAUAGAGGUAGGUUCACCUGGCUGGGACACUACAUAGAUAUAGAGGUAGGUUCACCUGGCUGGGACACUAGACACUACAUAGAUCUUGAGGUAGGUUCACCUGGCUGGGACACUAGACACUACAUAGAUCUAGAGGUAGGUUCAACUGGCUGGGACACUAGACACUACAUCGAUCUAGAGGUAGGUUCACCUGGCUGGGACACUAGACACUACAUAGAUCUUGAGGUAGGUUCACCUGGCUGGGACACUAGACACUACAUAGAUCUUGAGGUAGGUUCACCUGGCUGGGACACUAGACACUACAUCGAUCUAGAGGUAGGUUCACCUGGCUGGGACACUAGACACUACAUAGAUCUAGAGGUAGGUUCACCUGGCUGGGACACUAGACACUACAUAGAUCUAGAGGUAGGUUCACCUGGCUGGGACACUAGACACUACAUAGAUCUAGAGGUAGGUUCACCUGGCUGGGACACUAGACACUACAUAGAUCUAGAGGUAGGUUCACCUGGCUGGGACACUAGACACUACAUAGAUCUAGAGGUAGGUUCACCUGGCUGGGACACUAGACACUACAUCGAUCUUGAGGUAGGUUCACCUGGCUGGGACACUAGACACUACAUAGAUCUAGAGUAGGUUCACCUGGCUGGGACACUAGACACUACAUAGAUCUAGAGGUAGGUUCACCUGGCUGGGACACUAGACACUACAUAGAUCUAGAGGUAGGUUCACCUGGCUGGGACACUAGACACUACAUAUAUCUAGAGGUAGGUUCACCUGGCUGGGACACUAGACACUACAUAUAUCUUGAGGUAGGUUCACCUGGCUGGGACACUAGACACUACAUAGAUCUAGAGGUAGGUUCACCUGGCUGGGACACUAGACACUACAUAGAUCUAGAGGUAGGUUCACCUGGCUGGGACACUAGACACUACAUAGAUAUAGAGGUAGGUUCACCUGGCUGGGACACUAGACACUACAUAGAUCUAGAGGUAGGUUCACCUGGCUGGGACACUAGACACUACAUAGAUAUAGAGGUAGGUUCACCUGGCUGGGACACUAGACACUACAUAGAUCUAGAGGUAGGUUCACCUGGCUGGGACACUAGACACUACAUAGAUAUAGAGGUAGG